AGAGAUAGGGAUAUAUAUUAUUAUAUCCCUAUAUGUAUUAGUCCUGAUAUAAUAAAAGGACUAAUAUUCCUAUAUAUUACAUAGGAUGUAUUAUUAUAUCCCUGUAUGUAUUAGUCGUAUUGUAAUAAUAGGACUAAUAACCCUAUAUAUUAUAUAGGAAUGGAUACACACACAUACAUAUACAUACACCUAUAUAUAUUAAUCUGAUAGAUAUAUACCUCUGUAUCUAUCUAUAUGCAUUUUAUACAGGGAUAUAUAUUAUUAUAUCCCUAUAUGUAUUAGUCCUAUUAUAAUAAUAGAACUAGUAUUCCUAUAUAUUAUUGUUGCACCCUGGACCUAAAGCAACUGAUCACCAUAGCACCGCAUAAGAGUUCAAAGUAUAAGCAAAUGGUUUAUUGCAAAAAGAACACAUAAAAGGUAUAUGGGAAAAGUCAGGUAUAAGGAAAUAAGGUGUAUAAUCCAAAGGGUCAGCAACAGAUGAUAACCAAACAGGAAAUAAAUUCUGUCUCAUAAAACCAAAGGCAAUUAUAUUCUCAGGGCCUGCUUCACUAUAUGAAGUGGUUUCAUUUUCCUGGCCUGUAUCCUUCUCUUGGCCUGUAUCACUAUGAAUCCCAGGAAAACCCACAAUCCCUUCUCACUCCAAGUCAUCAGUGAACUCAUCAGCCCCUUGAGGCUGAACACAGAACUCCUUGCCUUCAAGUUGAUCUGACCCGCAGCAGGGAGUUCCUCAGUUCUCCAUUGCCCCGCCUGGGCCAACCGCAUGCACGUGGGCACAGCAGCAGCUGCAACUCAGAAGCCUUCUCAUUUCUUUGCCUUUUCCCCUUCCUAACAUUGUAACUAAUCCCCCCAAUAAAAAGUAUCAAUUAAUUUUAA